CUCUUAUCCAGAGCGGUGGAGGGAUCGGCCCUUUGAAACCGCGGCAACCUCGUCCAUGUGACGAACGGUGCUAACUCCGACAGAGAUGUCUGAAAGAUGAGAG
rnacentral:ncRNA from 2 species